UACGAAGGGGGCUAGCGUUGUUCGGAAUUACUGGGCGUAAAGCGCGCGCAGGCGGUCCUUCAAGUCAGAGGUGAAAGCCCAGAGCUCAACUCUGGAAUGGCCUUUGAGACUAGAGGACUUGGGUACGGGAGAGGUGAGUGGAAUUCCGAGUGUAGAGGUGAAAUUCGUAGAUAUUCGGAAGAACACCAGUGGCGAAGGCGGCUCACUGGCCCGUUACCGACGCUCAGGCGCGACAGCGUGGGGAGCGAUCCGG
rnacentral:rRNA from 1 species